rnacentral:sRNA from 1 species
UGAGGCCUCCUGACUGGCGCCGAUGCUCUGGCGACAGAGCGCCGGAUGCCGGAAAGUUGGUCAAACUUGAUCAUUUAGAGGAAGUAAAAGUCGUAACAAGGUUUCCGUAGGUGAACCUGCGGAAGGAUCAUUACCGAUGCAGUCCGACAACUCCGUUGUUUACCUUGUGAACUGUACCUAACUUUUAGGGGUCGGCAAGUCCGUUAAAUGGCGGUCGUACGUGUCUGUCUGUCUCGAGAGAGGAUUGCGGACGGACGCGGACGCUCUGCCAGCCCCGACCGUGUUUUUAACACGAACGAAGGUGGGCUUUACCGUAUGUCUGAUUUGGGUGGCCACUCCGUGCGUCACCGCGAGAGAGAGCAAAAACGAGAUACAACUUUUGACGGUGGAUCUCUUGGCUCACGCAUCGAUGAAGAACGCAGCCAGCUGCGAUAAGUAGUGUGAAUUGCAGAAUUCAGUGAAUCAUCGAAUCUUUGAACGCAAAUGGCGCUCUUGGGUUCUCCCAGGAGCAUGUCUGUCUGAGUGUCGGAUAUCAUCCAUCGCACCCGGCGGUGCGGCGUUGAGGCGUCACGGCCGGACGGUUUACCGUGCUGUGUCCCUUGAAGGCAAGAGAGACCCGCGUGGCUCGGGCCGGUCCCCGGCAGACACAAUCGCGGAGGCUAAAAGCUGUUUUGCCCUUCGCGUGCCGGUGCGACUGGCCGUACCAGGGUCGGUCGGACGAGGCGAACGCUAAAGGCUCUGACCUCAGAUCAG